GAUGAAGAACGCAGCGAAAUGCGAUACUUGGUGUGAAUUGCAGAAUCCCGUGAACCAUCGAGUCUUUGAACGCAAGUUGCGCCCGAAGCCACUAGGCCGAGGGCACGCCUGCCUGGGCGUCACACGCCGUUGCCCCCCCCAUCUACUCCUUCGGGAUUGCGGGGGGGCGGAUGAUGGCCUCCCGUGCGCCUAGCCGCGCGGUUGGCAUAAAUACCAAGUCCUCGGCGACGCACGCCACGACAAUCGGUGGUUGCGAAACCUCGGUUGCCCGUCGUGUGCGUUCGUCGCGCAUCGAGGGCUCGAAAAAAUGCUCGGCUCCGGCUGGGCUUUCAACGCGACCCCAGGUCAGGCGGGGUUACCCGCUGAAUUUAAGCAUAUCAAUAAGCGGAGGA
rnacentral:misc_RNA from 1 species